AUGUUCACUUUGAAAAUAGACAUCUACUUAGAAAGUGGAGAGGGACAAUUUGAUGAUUUACACUCAGGUUUUCCUCUAUCCCUUUCCAGCAGCUGUUUUUUAAGCUUGAGGGAACACUGGCUGACAUACCGAACACCAGAUCCAGAGCCAGCAAGUGGUAUAUAUAAACCUGGAGAUGGCCCAGCAGUCCACACACCACUGAACACUGUAGCAAAACCUCUAGACAUUUUAAGGGCCAGCAAUUUUUGUCUUCCUUAUUCACCAAAUAACUAUGAACUUCUCAAAAAGAAGACGCCUUCGGCAACAUACAAAAGAAAUCCAGUCUGUUGCAUAUUUUGAAAGAAAUUUCAACAUGAUUUAAGUCUUCAGCCUUCUAAAUGUCACCUUGAGCAAGGCAUUUGACCUAACACUUCAGAAGUGGACUUAGUCAGGGUCAGCCUCGGGGGUCCUCAUCAACUCAUGAGAGUUAAGUGUAGUUACAAAAUCUUAAAUCUCUCUCAUCUCAAAUUUGAGUGUAUACUGUUUUCAACCUGUAAAAGCUGUCAUUCCAGCCAAGUCUGCCAUGAUAGGAAAAGGGAAAUUAAAAUAACACCUCAUGGUGUGCUUGUCAGCCCACCCAAUUAGAACUGAUUCCCCCUGGAUAACCUUCCUUGGGCUGAGCAAUUGGCUUUGAAUUAGAUGAAUCCAUCUACCUCAGCCUGCCUUUCUUCAGCAAAAUGACGGCCACUACCUUCCCACUUAAGCAUGGUUGACUCUAAGUGAGUAACAGGGCACUUCAGAACAGCACCCCAUGAAACUCAACCCCCCUUAUUGGAACCAUUACAGUAAAAAUUAAUAAUAAAAAAUGGAGGGACUAUGGGAAGUCUUUUCA
rnacentral:lncRNA from 1 species